AUUGAACGCUGGCGGCAGGCCUAACACAUGCAAGUCGAGCGAGCGGCGGACGGGUGAGUAAUGUAUGGGGACUGCCCGAUCGAGGGGGAUAACUACUGGAAACGGUGGCUAAUACCGCUAACUAUCGGUUCACCCAUAUGGUAUUAGCUAGUAGGUGGGGUAAAGGCUCACCUAGGCGACGAUCUCUAGCUGGUCUGAGAGGAUGAUCGGCCACACUGGGACGGAGACACGGCCCAGACUCCUACGGAGGCAGCAGUGGGGAAUAUUGCACAAUGGGCGCAAGCCUGAUGCAGCGAUGCCGCGUGUAUGAAGAAGGCCUUCGGGUGGUAAAGUACUUUUAGCGGGGAGGCGUUAUCCGCAGAAGAAGCACCGGCUAACUCCGUGCCAGCAGCCGCGGUAAUAC
rnacentral:rRNA from 1 species